rnacentral:rRNA from 1 species
GACAUGUACGGAAUCCUGAAGAGAUUUGGGAGUGCUCGAAAGAGAACCGUAACACAGGUGCUGCAUGGCUGUCGUCAGCUCGUGUCGUGAGAUGUUGGGUUAAGUCCCGCAACGAGCGCAACCCUUGUCAUUAGUUGCUACGAAAGGGCACUCUAAUGAGACUUGCCGGUGACAAACCGGAGGAAGGUGGGGAUGACGUCAAGUCCUCAUGGCCCUUAUAGGUGGGGCUACACACGUCAUACAAUGGCUGGUACAAAGGGUUGCCAACCCGCGAGGGGGAGCUAANACCAUAAAACCAGUCGUAGUCCGGAUCGCAGUCUGCAACUCGACUGCGUGAAGUCGGAAUCGCUAGUAAUCGUGGAUCAGAAUGUCACGGGAAUACGUUCCCGGGUCUUGUACACACCGCCCGUCACACCAUGGGAGCGGGUUCUGCCAGAAGUAGUUAGCCUAA